rnacentral:rRNA from 1 species
UACGUAGGGGGCCAGCGUUGUCCGGACUUACUGGGCGUAAAGCGCGCGCAGGUGGACGAGUAUGUGCCGUGUGAAAGCGCCGUCCUUACGAUGGUGAGGUCAUGGUAGACAGCUUGUCUAGAGGCUCGAAGAGGUCGAUGGAAUUCCGGGUGGAGCGGUGAAAUGCGUAGAGAUCCGGAGGAACACCAGUGGCGAAGGCGACACGCUGGGCCGUACCUGACACUAAAACGCGACAGCAUGGGGAGCGAACGGG